rnacentral:rRNA from 1 species
CCUCCUUUCUUCCGCCGUGGGGCCUCUUGCCCCCUGGGCGCCCGCCUGCUGCAGCAACGCCGCGUGAGCGAUGAAGGCCUUCGGGUCGUAAAGCUCUGUCCUCAAGGAAGAUAAUGACGGUACUUGAGGAGGAAGCCCCGGCUAACUACGUGCCAGCAGCCGCGGUAAUACGUAGGGGGCUAGCGUUAUCCGGAAUUACUGGGCGUAAAGGGUGCGUAGGUGGUUUCUUAAGUCAGAGGUGAAAGGCUACGGCUCAACCGUAGUAAGCCUUUGAAACUGGGGAACUUGAGUGCAGGAGAGGAGAGUGGAAUUCCUAGUGUAGCGGUGAAAUGCGUAGAUAUUAGGAGGAACACCAGUUGCGAAGGCGGCUCUCUGGACUGUAACUGACACUGAGGCACGAAAGCGUGGGGAGCAAACAGGAUUAGAUACCCGAGUAGUC